GGGCGCGUAGCUCAGCGGGAGAGCACCACGUUCACACCGUGGGGGUCACAGGUUCAAUCCCUGUCGCGCCCACCA
rnacentral:tRNA from 1 species